rnacentral:RNase_P_RNA from 1 species
GAGGAAAGUCCGGAAUCCAUAUAGUCAAUGGGUGCUGUAUAAAUUUCAGUGUAAGUAAUUAUGAGGAAAGUGCCACAGAAAUAAACCGCUUUAAUAAAGUAAGGGUGCAAAGGUGUAUUAAAAGAACACCAGAAGUAUUGUUGAGAUACUUGCUAGGUAAACCCCGUCUAGGAGCAAAGCUAAACUUGAGAAUAUUCGACUAUAGAUUUCUCAUUUUAUAAAUCUUUACCGCAGUAAGUAAUAUAUUAAUAUUUUAUUUUUACUACUACAGAUAAAUAACUACCCUUUCUAUAUCAUUUAGACGAUAUAAAAAGAACAGAAUCCGGCUUAU